GAUGAACGUUGGCGGUGUGCCUAAUACAUGCAAGUCGAACGGUGAUUAUUUUGUAGUAAUACGAAAUGAUCAUAGUGGCGAACGGGUGAGUAACGCGUUGGUGAUCUGCCUCGAAGUGUGGAAUAACGUUCCGAAAGGAACGCUAAUACCGCAUGUGCUCUCGAUUUUUAGAAAGUUGAGAGUAAAGGAUUUAUUCGCUUCGAGAGGAGCCUGCGUCCCAUCAGCUAGUUGGUAGGGUAAAAGCCUACCAAGGCAAUGACGGGUAGGGGACCUGAGAGGGUGGCCCCCCACAAUGGAACUGAAACACGGUCCAUACACCUACGGGUGGCAGCAGUAGGGAAUAUUAGAAAUGGACGAAAGUCUGAUCUAGCGACACCGCGUGUGCGAUGAAGGCCUU
rnacentral:rRNA from 1 species